rnacentral:rRNA from 1 species
GACGAACGCUGGCGGCGUGCUUAACACAUGCAAGUCGAACGGAAAGGCCCUGCUUUUGUGGGGUGCUCGAGUGGCGAACGGGUGAGUAACACGUGAGUAACCUGCCCUUGACUUUGGGAUACUUCAGGAAACUGGGGCUAAUACCGGGUAAGAGCUCCUUCCGCCUGGUGGGGGGUGGAAAGUUUUGGCGGUUGGGGAUGGACUUGCGGCUUAUCCGCUUGGUGGGGGGGGUGUGGCUUACCAAGGCUUUGACGGGUAGCCGGCCUGAGAGGGUGAACGGCCACAUUGGGACUGAGAUACGGACCAGACUCCUACGGGAGGCAGCAGUGGGGAAUAUUGCACAAUGGGCGGAAGCCUGAUGCAGCAACGCCGCGUGCGGGAUGACGGCCUUCGGGUUGUAAACCGCUUUCGCCUGUGACGAAGCGUGAGUGACGGUAAUGGGUAAAGAAGCACCGGCUAACUACGUG